rnacentral:rRNA from 1 species
UUCGGUGGGGAUUAGUGGCGAACGGGUGAGUAACACGUGGGCAAUCUGCCCUGCACUCUGGGACAAGCCCUGGAAACGGGGUCUAAUACCGGAUAUGACCCUCGCAGGCAUCUGUGAGGGUGUAAAGCUCCGGCGGUGCAGGAUGAGCCCGCGGCCUAUCAGCUUGUUGGUGAGGUAACGGCUCACCAAGGCGACGACGGGUAGCCGGCCUGAGAGGGCGACCGGCCACACUGGGACUGAGACACGGCCCAGACUCCUACGGGAGGCAGCAGUGGGGAAUAUUGCACAAUGGGCGAAAGCCUGAUGCAGCGACGCCGCGUGAGGGAUGACGGCCUUCGGGUUGUAAACCUCUUUCAGCAGGGAAGAAGCGAAAGUGACGGUACCUGCAGAAGAAGCGCCGGCUAACUACGUGCCAGCAGCCGCGGUAAUACGUAGGGCGCAAGCGUUGUCCGGAAUUAUUGGGCGUAAAGAGCUCGUAGGCGGCUUGUCGCGUCGGUUGUGAAAGCCCGGGGCUUAACCCCGGGUCUGCAGUCGAUACGGGCAGGCUAGAGUUCGGUAGGGGAGAUCGGAAUUCCUGGUGUAGCGGUGAAAUGCGCAGAU